CGCCAAAAAAAGGUAAACAAAAACCUGAAAAAUAAACCCCCAAGUUAACAUCAAUAUUUAGCAAGUAUACUGUUGCUGCAUAAACACAUUGGAUCAUGAUAUGAUCCCCCUACGGAGUCCAUAGCAUUUUAAGUAUCUUCCUUCUGUAAAUUAAGAACUGAGUAAAACACAACUACUGUAACAAGCUUGUUCGUUGAAUAUGAUGAGUAAAACAAUGACAACUACACCUAAACAAAGCUACAGAGCAAAUUUUUCUGGUUC
rnacentral:lncRNA from 1 species